rnacentral:rRNA from 1 species
CAGCAGCCGCGGGAAUACGAAGGGGGCUAGCGUUGUUCGGAAUUACUGGGCGUAAAGCGCACGCAGGCGGCUCGAUAAAUUAGAAGUGAAAGCCUUGGGCUUAACCUGAGAAUUGCUUUUAAGACUGUCGAGCUAGAAUCCAGAAGAGGGUAGUGGAAUUCCGAGUGUAGAGGUGAAAUUCGUAGAUAUUCGGAAGAACACCAGUGGCGAAGGCGACUACCUGGUCUGGCAUUGACGCUCAUGUGCGAAAGCGUGGGGAGCAAACAGGAUUAGAUACCCCAGUAGUCCCUGUCUCUUAUAC